rnacentral:rRNA from 1 species
UGGGCGGAAGCCUGAUCCAGCCAUGCCGCGUGUGUGAAGAAGGCCUUUUGGCUGUAAAGCACUUUAAGCGAGGAGGAGGCGACUUAGAUUAAUACUCUAGGAUAGUGGACGUUACUCGCAGAAUAAGCACCAAAUC